GACGAACGCUGGCGGCGUGCUUAACACAUGCAAGUCGAACGGAAAGGCCCUGCUUUGGGGGGGUGCUCGAGUGGAGAACGGGGGAGUAACACGGGAGUAACCUGCCCUCGACUUUGGGAUAACUUCAGGAAACUGGGGCUAAUACCGGAUCGGAGCCCCCGCCGCAUGGGGGGGGUGGGAGAGUUCCGGCGGUUGGGGAUGGACUCGCGGCUUAUCGGCUUGUUGGUGUGGUAGUGGCUUACCAAGGCUUUGCCGGGUAGCCGGCCUGAGAGGGUGGACGGCCACACUGGGCCUGAGCUACGGCCCGGACGCCUAGGGGGGGAAGGAGUGGGGAGUGGUGCACAGUGGGAGGGAGCCUGCGGGAGCAACGCAGGGUGCGGGGUGGCGGACUUCGGGUGGUGAUGCGGUAGGGCCUGUGACGUGGCGUGAGUGACGUUACUGGGUUAAGAAGCACCGGCUAACUACGUG
rnacentral:rRNA from 1 species